GGGGAUGUCCGGUUUCGACGGGGCAGGAAGUUCUUUGAUGGCAGGCCGUAGAGAGUCGGCUACGUAAAAAUAGGCUCAAACACAUAUAAAUGCCAAAUCAGGCAAAUCCUUCAACUUCGGUUUCGCUAGCGCCCCUAUGGCGGUUGCUGCUUAAUCACCUUGAAGACCUGACUCUCUAAACAGAGUCACGGCCCGGUCUAAUGGUGCUCUCAGGUUAGCCGGUAGCCGACAUAUACUGUUGAGCUAGGGCAACUAGACGCCGAUACGGUUGCCCGAAACGCGAUCGGCUAGCCGAGCAAUGGAAUCCUGUUACACGGAGUCCGCUCGGUGAACCAUCCAAAUGUGUAACUAAGCCUGUAGAGGUCUCUGGACGAAUGUUUCGGACGCGGGUUCAAUUCCCGCC
rnacentral:tmRNA from 1 species